UUUGGUUGUCCUUUGUUUCAUAAAAAAUGUUGGUAUCAUUUAGAACUAUGUUUAUUUGGUGUAACCGGAAUUAAUCACUGGUUAAACAUAUAGAAGGAGUCUCUCUAUUGGAAGGGAAAAAUAUAAUAUUAGACACCAUUUAUUUUUCUGCUCACUGAUGCAUGCAAUGUAUCAUUUGGCCUUGAUUUAAUGUACUGCACUUUUCUUCAUUGUUCUCUGUUCUUUAAUAAGUCAGACUCAUAUAGAACCUGAUAUUUCUUAGUGAUGUCUUCAAAUCCCAUGAAUGUCAUUUUGCACCGAAGGUUUGUAACCAUUGGGGAAUGUUUUCUUGCUCUGAUGUAUCAAGUUGCCAUGGGGGUGAUCUAGAGGUCUCUUCCUUGUCCAAAGUAUGUCGUACCUAAUCAAGACAUGUUCAUUUAAUUUACCCGUCAUGUAAAUGACACAACAUGAUUCACUUGUGUAUAGUGUAAACAUAUAUUUAUUUAUGGCAAGCAGGUGUUCAAAUUAUAGUUGUGAAACAUGUAUAGUGUAAGGAUAUAAUUAUUAAGGGAAGUGACGUCA